GACAGAGGUGCCAAGCGUUAGGCGGAAUCACUGGGCUUAAAGCGUGUGUAGGCGGAUCGUUAAGUACCUUGUGAAAUCCCACGGCUCAACCGUGGAACUGCUGGGUAUACUGGCGGUCUUGAGCCACCUAGGGGCAACUGGAACAAGCGGUGGAGCGGUGAAAUGCGUAGAUAUCGCUUGGAACGCCAACGGUGAAAACAGGUUGCUGGGGGGUGUGCUGACGCUGAGACACGAAAGCCAGGGGAGCGAACGGG
rnacentral:rRNA from 1 species